rnacentral:lncRNA from 1 species
UGGCUCAUUGAACCUUUUCGCGGUUCGAGCCGGUGAACCCGAAAAUGAAAGCCGCUUCUUGGCUGACCCAGCCAUCGAACCCUUUUCUGACGAACCUUUCCUUCCCGACCCUAACGGGCUUGGACUAUGAACAGGACUAGCCAUUCGGGACCUAGCCUUAGCCGACAUUGUUGAAGCCAUGUAACUAGGAACCGCAGGAGACGAGUCAAGGCUCUCGUUAUCACACACCGAACUAGCCCGGCUCUGUCGUCUGUUACGGUCUGAUUGCACGCUGUAGAAGCUUGUGGAGUCGCCAUCCACGCUUCCCCUUGGGGUUUCGGGCCUGACCCGCGAACUUGAUGAUGGAGCCCUGGAGGGCGGUGUUGAGGGUGAUUGGCGACUAGGCGGGCGGCUGACCCGUUUACCCAUUUCUGAUCCGACCGAUGGUUCUUUUGCGGGUAUGAUUUGAGUUUCCCAGGGCUUGGCGGCCAUCCAACGUUCUAGCCAACUCCACCCCCAGUGAGGAUUGUUCGGGUCCAGAAAAGUUGGAUCUGGAUACUUUGUAGAGUUCUUCCACAUUUGCUUGCCUGAUGAGUAUGUGCAUAUGCCAAUGCUCUUUCUCUACGUAUAGCAGCCUCUUGUUUGCUUUGUAAACUAGCUUCAGUUUCUUCUUUAGAUUUUCUACUGUCAUCCCAUGUGUUUCCUAACUAGGAUCUAAUGUUGUUGAGCUCUUUCUCAUGUUUCAAAAGAAGUUGUUGUUGGAGAGCUCGGUUCUCCUCAGACAUAAGAAUGCGCCUGGAACGAACCUGAGACUGUACACGAGCCAAUGUUUGCAUACAUU